rnacentral:rRNA from 1 species
GAGUUUGAUCGUGGCUCAGAUUGAACGCUGGCGGCAUGCCUUACACAUGCAAGUCGAACGGUAACAGGUCUUCGGAUGCUGACGAGUGGCGAACGGGUGAGUAAUACAUCGGAACGUGCCCGAUCGUGGGGGAUAACGGAGCGAAAGCUUUGCUAAUACCGCAUACGAUCUACGGAUGAAAGCAGGGGACCGCAAGGCCUUGCGCGGACGGAGCGGCCGAUGGCAGAUUAGGUAGUUGGUGGGAUAAAAGCUUACCAAGCCGACGAUCUGUAGCUGGUCUGAGAGGACGACCAGCCACACUGGGACUGAGACACGGCCCAGACUCCUACGGGAGGCAGCAGUGGGGAAUUUUGGGCGAAUGGGCGAAAGCCUGAUCCAGCCAUGCCGCGUGCAGGAUGAAGGCCUC